rnacentral:rRNA from 1 species
CCUACGGGAGGCUGCAGUAGGGAAUGUUCGUCAAUGGGCGCAAGCCUGAACGAGCAAUGCCGCGUGAACGAGGAAGGUCUUCGGAUCGGAAAGUUCUGUUGAAGGGGAAAAAGAGCGGAGAGAGGAAAUGCUUUCGGAUGGAUAUUACCCUUCGAGGAAGGCACGGCUAACAACGUGCCAGCAGCCGCGGUAAUACGUAGGUGGCGAGCGUUAUCCGGAAUGAUUGGGCGUAAAGGGUGCGUAGGCGGCCUGCUAAGUCUGGCGGGAAAGGUACCGGCUCAACCGGUACAGGCUCUGGAAACUUGCGGGCUCGCGCGCCGGCGCGGUCGGUGGCACUCCCUGUUUCGCGGUCCACUGCGUCGCUCUCUGGCCGCACCUCAGUGGCUC